CCGGGUCCCCCUCGAUGUCCACCUCCAGGUCCAGCUCCUCCGCCGCCGCCAUGACAGGGCUCCGCGGUCUCGCGGGAAGCGGCGGGAAGCGGCGGGGCCUGGCGGCGGCCCCAGCCAGCCUGCGCCCUGAGCAGACGUCGUGUGGAGGCGGAGAGAUGGCGUGAGGUGUGGCCGAUGCUCAGAGAAACGGAGAACUGGGCAAAGUUCCCAUCCUGUGGAGCUUACAGUUGGAAAAAUCCUCUCCACACAAAAAGGCUGGCAGAAUAACAGUUGAUCCACAGUGGGAGCCCAGAGAGUGAAGGAUGCUUAAUCAAAAGGAGGGCUGAAGAGCUCAGAAGCAGAGAGUUGAGUCUGCAGCCAAGCACGAGGAGUACAGUUGGCCCCCUUCAGAUCCCAGAAGGCCACAAGAAGGUCGUCUGGGAGCCUCUUCUUCUGCUGACUGAACAGCCCCAACUCUUUCAGUCUGUCCUCACAGCAAAGCUACUGCAGCCCUCUGAGCAUCCUCGUGACCCUUCUUGGGACACACUCUGGCAUCUCCACAUCCCUCUUGUACUGGGGGUUCAGAACUGGAUGCAGUACUCCAGGCACAAGGCAAGCACAGGAGAAUUCCUAGUGUGGUCAGACAAAAAGAAGAGUCUGGUUCCAUCCUCAGAUCUUCAGAAC